ACGACAAAGCUCUCAUUGUUUUUCUGUGCGUCAUCAUCAUAGUAGUUGUGGUGUUUGUGGCGAUCUAUAAGCGCUACAUUAAGAAGCACAGAGAGUCCAGAAGUGGUGUGAAUGACGACAUGAUGCUUGAUUCAACAGCAAUCUAUAUGAAUACACGACCUCCUGGAUGGCGUCAUAAAGCAGCUCGCUGAUGAAGGAAGGCCUGAUGGAGCUUCACAUCAAAUCACCAUUUACUCUUUAUGAUAAGUUUUCAAGUUAUUCAGCUUGCAGUAGAUAUUUUAUCCCAUUUUAGAGGCUAUUUUUAAAGUUGUAUGACUGUCAUUAGCCAAGAGCUCCAAUAUUGUACUCUGAAAUAUUGUUUAACAAAGUAAAUUCUGUGGUGUCUUCAUCCCUUUGUUGCAUUUUGGAAUUUCAAUGCUUUUGAUGCUUUGGUGUGCAUAUUUUCCCAUGUUAGAAUGUGUCCAUUUUGUUGCUAAUGUUUUGAACCAAGUCUGGUUAAAU
ensembl:lncRNA